UACGUAGGGGGCAAGCGUUGUCCGGAAUCAUUGGGCGUAAAGAGCGUGUAGGCGGUUCGAUAAGUCGGCUGUGAAAGUCCAGGGCUCAACCCUGGGAUGCCGGUCGAUACUGCCGGACUAGAGUUCGGAAGAGGCGAGUGGAAUUCCCGGUGUAGCGGUGAAAUGCGCAGAUAUCGGGAGGAACACCAAUGGCGAAGGCAGCUCGCUGGGACGUUACUGACGCUGAGACGCGAAAGCGUGGGGAGCAAACAGGG
rnacentral:rRNA from 1 species